rnacentral:rRNA from 1 species
CCUACGGGACGCAGCAGUGGGGGAUAUUGCACAAUGGGGGGAACCCUGAUGCAGCGACGCCGCGUGAACGAAGAAAUAUUUCGGUAUGUAAAGUUCUAUCAGCAGGGAAGAAAAUGACAGUACCUGACCAAGAAGCCCCGGCUAACUACGUGCCAGCAGCCGCGGUAAUACGUAGGGGGCGAGCGUUAUCCGGAUUCACUGGGUGUAAAGGGUGCGUAGGCGGCUUGGCAAGUCAGUAGUGAAAUCCAUGGGCUUAACCCAUGAACUGCUAUUGAAACUGUCGAGCUUGAGUGAAGUAGAGGUAG